CAGUAGCCGCGGUAAUACGUAGGUGGCAAGCGUUGUCCGGAAUUAUUGGGCGUAAAGGGCUCGCAGGCGGUUUCUUAAGUCUGAUGUGAAAGCCCCCGGCUCAACCGGGGAGGGUCAUUGGAAACUGGGAAACUUGAGUGCAGAAGAGGAGAGUGGAAUUCCACAUAUAGCGGUGAAAUGCGUAGAGAUGUGGAGGAACACCAGUGGCGAAGGCGACUCUCUGGUCUGUAACUGACGCUGAGGAGCGAAAGCGUGGGGAGCGAACAGGAUUAGAUACCCCCGUAGUCCCUGUCUCUUAUAC
rnacentral:rRNA from 1 species